rnacentral:pre_miRNA from 1 species
ACAGGGUUUCACCAUGUUGGCCAGGCUGGUCUUGAACUCCUGACCUCAGGUGAUCCGCCCACCUCGGCCUCCCAAAGUGCUGGGAUUACAGCCUGGCCAACAUGGUGAAACCCCAU